rnacentral:misc_RNA from 1 species
GAUGAAGAACGCAGCGAAAUGCGAUACUUGGUGUGAAUUGCAGAAUCCCGUGAACCAUCGAGUCUUUGAACGCAAGUUGCGCCCGAAGCCAUUAGGCCGAGGGAACGCCUGCCUGGGCGUCACACGUCGUUGCCCCCCCAUCUACUCCUUCGGGAUUGCGGGGGGCGGAUGAUGGCCUCUCGUGCGCCUCGUCGCGCGGUUGGCCUAAAUGCCAAGUCCUCGGCGACGCACGCCACGACAAUCGGUGGUUGCGAAACCUCGGUUGCCUGUCGUGUGCGGUCGUCGCGCAUCGAGGGCUCGAAAAAAUUGCCGGGCUUCGGCUCGACUUUCAACGCGACCCCAGGUCAGGCGGGGUUACCCGCUGAAUUUAAGCAUAUCAAUAAGCGGAGGA